GACGAACGCUGGCGGCACGCUUAACACAUGCAAGUCGAACGAGAAUUUGAGAGCUUGCUUUUAAAUUCUAGUGGCGGACGGUGAGUAACACGUGAGCAAUCUGCCUUUCAGAGGGGAUACCAGUUGGAAACGGCUGUUAAUACCGCAUAAAAUAUGAAUGUCGCAUGACAAACAUAUCAAAGAUUUAUCGCUGAAAGAUGAGCUCGCGUCUGAUUAGAUAGUUGGUGAGGUAACGGCCCACCAAGUCGACGAUCAGUAGCCGGACUGAGAGGUUGGACGGCCACAUUGGGACUGAGACACGGCCCAGACUCCUACGGGAGGCAGCAGUGGGGAAUAUUGCACAAUGGAGGAAACUACUGAUGCAGCGAUGCCGCGUCGA
rnacentral:rRNA from 1 species